AACGUAGGAGGCGAGCGUUAUCCGGAUUUACUGGGCGUAAAGCGCACGCAGGCGGCUCUGUGAGUCGGACGUGAAAGCUCUCGGCUUAACCGGGAGAGGCCGUUCGAUACUGCGGGGCUUGAGGUAGGGAGAGGAAUGCGGAAUUCCCGGUGUAGUGGUGGAAUGCGUAGAUAUCGGGAGGAACACCUGUGGCGAAAGCGGCAUUCUGGCCCUCACCUGACGCUGAGGUGCGAAAGCGUGGGUAGCAAAC
rnacentral:rRNA from 1 species